rnacentral:rRNA from 1 species
AACGUAGGACGCAAACGUUAUCCGGAAUUACUGGGCGUAAAGCGCGCGCAGGUGGGUGAACAAGUCAUGCGUGAAAGCUCCCGGCUAAACUGGGAGAGGUCGGAUGAUACUGUUCGCCUAGAGGGUGUUAGAGGCGUGUGGAAUUCCACGUGUAGUGGUGAAAUGCGUAGAGAUGUGGAGGAACACCAGUGGCGAAGGCGGCACGCUGGGACAUCACUGACACUGAGGCGCGAAAGCAUGGGUAGCGAACGGG